rnacentral:tRNA from 1 species
GCUUGGGUGUCAGAAUGUGUUAUGUGCGGGAUUGCAAACCCCGUUAUGUCGGUUCGAAUCCGAUCCCAAGCUCCA